AUGAAUGAAAGAGAUCACGUCAAUGUCUUUCAAGGGCCUAGUACGCGGCGGGCCGUGCAUGAGGCACCUUUAAGCCUCGGGCACGACCACCCAUUCCCGCUGGGACUCCAGAGAAAACCCAAGCCUGCAGACGGCACCUCGCUCCCGUUCCCUCCAUGGAAACUUCCAGUCCACAGUCCCCUUCUCCUCCCUCCCGCAGGGGCAGAGCCGUACCUCCUCGGCUGUAAAGAUUCCUUUGUCGGCUGUCAAUCAGAGGGCCAGGUUGGAGAGCCCAGAGCCCCGACUGCUAGGCAGGUAAGUUCACGUCUGGGUGCUGCUGGGUUCAUGAGCCAGUGGCUGGGGAGAAGAUGCCAUUUCCGGUGGUAUCUGAGGCAAAUGACACGAGUCAGCAUUUACUUCUCUGCAUUAGGAAGCGGAAGACUAAUGACCAAAGCUUGAAGGCUCUGGCCCAUGUGAAAACACAAAGUGGCAAGUAAACCCAAAAAUGUAGCAUUUUCCUGGAAUCUGGGGCUAAGCUGGUUUUCAUUUCACAUUGCUCAGUAAUUGGGUGUAGCUUAUAUUGGCUCUUAAACUUCGUUCUGUUUUAACAAUUCAGACCCUGGGCUCUUACUACCUUGUGUGUGUUCCCUGCUGAGAAAGCAGAGUGGGGAAGGAGAGAAAGAUGGGCGGGGAGGGCAGAGAAAGGGGAAGUGAGAAAAGAGAAAUAAGAAAAUGAGAAGAUUGCUCCCUUUUCUAAUUAAUUUUUCAUAGUAAUAAUCCUGUGCUGCUUUAGUUUACAUUAGGCUUUCAAAUCCUUUCCCUUGACCUUCCCACGGCCCUGUGGGAAGAGGAGCAGCCCAGUCCAUGGCCACAGAGGACUACAGGCCCCAGUAAGCUCAGAAAGUGGCAGACCCAUGAGACCUGUUGAUCCUCCUCUGCUGUUCCACGGGAAACCCGGGAAACCUGCAGGGAACUGGAGGGCGUCGUUUGGGGUGGGGGGUCUUCCGGUGGGUUAGAUGAGCGCUCUGCUUUGUUUUCCUGGGUUUGGAAGGCCGAGGAAUACCCCCUUCCCUACAGAUACCAAGAUGAAAGAGAAGAGGAAAAGAAUCAGGAAAAAGGAAAAAUGAGGAAAUGAAGCUCUAAAAAUGUUCUUCCCCAAACUGUGGACCUUCUAUGGUGUUCAAAAUACUUUAGGACCGAGCAUUUCCCCAUCCCAUUUAAUGGUCUAAAAUAACAAGAGUAAUAGGCCCCACAACAGUCCAGAAAUACACUCCCUCUGCACUUAGUUUUUGUUCGUUUUUUAAAUACUAUGCUAUUUAGGUAAAUUGGCCUAUAAAGCAACCCAACUGCCUUUUCUUGAGAAAUGUCGUUUUACGGUACUUCAUUGAAUACUCAGUGUGUGGCUCAUGAAUUCCACCCCUUACACAUUGUUUUUAUUUUCUUAUCUCUAUCUCUAUUUAUAAAUAAGUUAUUUUGCAUUUUUUCCAUGAUUUUUCAUACACUCGUUGCAUGUCUUAAGGCAAGGCUGCAUCUAGAACCCAACGGAUAGCUUUGGCACUUUACAGUUAAGAGUAGUGUGUUACAUAGCUGAAAAUUGGCCAUUAUUUGAUUCUAGAAGUGAGUUUCAACUCUCUCCAGGUUCCAGCUCAUCUGUGCAUUGUGAGGGUGAAAGGCCUUGUGAGGUCUAGGGAAGCAUGACCAGAAUUAGCAGAAUUCCAAAAUCAGAGAACAGAGGAGCUGGAAUGAUGCAGAUGAUAAUCUUGCUUAUCCUCUUUGAAUUUAAAAUAAAAUUGUUUGAGACCAAACAGCAGAUUUUUCUACCGAUUUUCUUCUAAGAACUUACUACACUAUAUGGAGACAGUAUUGCUGUCUUUUGGUCCCAUUUUGUGUUCCAUGGCUCAGUGAGCUGGCUUGCUUUCUUACCCGCCAAACUUCCCCUAAAUGAUAAUGAACACUGAUGCAUGUAGACGAUUUUACACUUAGAAUCUUGCAACAGACCCCGCUUAUAAAAUCAGGCAAGCUCUAAUCAUUGUCUUCCCAUUGCAGAGGGUGGAACUGAGGCCUGGAGCAAGGCUGAAUGACUGUCACCUCGACGGAGUGCUCAGGGCACUUAGGACUGGGGUCCCCUUGCCCUCUUGUGCUGCGAGCCAAGCUACUCAUGCUGUUUGACAAAGUCCAAGUGUGAGGGACAAUCCUGAAAAAUCGGGAGACUCCACAGCUGGCUCCUGCUACUUCCUUUCAUUUUAUUUGCGGCAAUCUUUAUAAUCAUGGGAUUUUUUUCUGGGGUUUCAUGAUAAAAUGAUUUGUAAAUUUAGUUAUGCCUAUGCAAGCAAUCAUAAUGAAACUGAUUCCAAAAAGGCUGACAAUGGGCCAAGAAGUAAAAAUACCCAAUGUCCUCCCAUCUGUAAGGGAGCUGUUGGAUCCAGGCCCAGUAAAAAUUCCUAUUGAUAAGAUUCCUCAGGCACCUCUGAAACAUCAGAAUUCUAGGAAAGGCAAAUCUCAUGUCAUUCCCGCAGUACAAGGACCUCCCUAUGUUGUAUACACAAUAGGAGGCCACCUUUGGUAUGCCCCUCGAGGCAAGCCCCUGGUGUAGGAUUAACUUCCUUACCCCUACUCCCCCCAUUCCUUACAAUGGAGUUGUUAAUGAAGACAUGAACAAAUAGUAUAAGAAUAAAGGAAAAAAGUGUGCAAGCAUCAUCUGUCUGCCUCUGGUUAUAGAUUAAGAGGAGUAAUCCUCCGUGGUGUCUGUGGAGCAAGGACAAGAGACAUAUAGAAAUGGAAUAAAUACUUUGAUAGGAUAGGAUGCACACAUUGUAAACUGCCUUUGGAGAAAGAGUAAACUUUAGGUAAACCUUUAAGCAAGAGUAAAAAUAUAACUUCUUCGCUUUAGUACACAAUGGCAGAUAGGUCACACUUUGUCUCGCACUGUCACACUCUGUUUAGCAUCUUUGUUUUUAAAUCCGGAAUGGUUGUAAUAAAAUGUAAAAACAAAUUCACAUGUUAUGAAAAAACGGAAAAACAAGGAAAUGUUCUAAUGAAUAAAUAAGGUCCCUCCGAGUCUAUCAGGAGGAGAUGCUUGCAACCUGAUCCUGUGUCCGUGUCUCCUCACUCGCCGACGCCGUCCUUUCCUUCAAGGACCCCUCCCCUGCUGGAGCUGGACUCUGGC
rnacentral:lncRNA from 1 species